rnacentral:rRNA from 1 species
UACGUAGGGACCGAGCGUUGUCCGGAAUCAUUGGGCGUAAAGCGUAUGUAGGCGGGCUUCUAAGUCAGGUGUGAAAUCCCAUGGCUCAACCAUGGAAUUGCAUUUGAAACUGGAAGUCUUGAGUGUGGGAGAGAUUGGUAGAAUACCUGGUGUAGUGGUGAAAUACGUAGAUAUCAGGUGGAAUACCGGUGGCGAAGGCGGCCAAUUGGCCCAACACUGACGCUGAGAUACGAAAGCGUGGGGAUCAAACAGG